rnacentral:rRNA from 1 species
UACAGAGGGGGCAAGCGUUGUUCGGAAUUACUGGGCGUAAAGGGCGCGUAGGCGGCCUGCUAAGUCGAACGUGAAAUCCCCGGGCUCAACCCGGGAACUGCGUCCGAUACUGGUUGGCUUGAAUCCGGGAGAGGGAUGUGGAAUUCCAGGUGUAGCGGUGAAAUGCGUAGAUAUCUGGAGGAACACCGGUGGCGAAGGCGGCAUCCUGGACCGACACUGACGCUGAGGCGCGAAAGCUAGGGGAGCAAACGGG